UCUUUAGUAUAAGUAUGUCCCAUGUAAUAUUUGGGACAGAGUUACACUAAAA
rnacentral:pre_miRNA from 1 species